CUAAUUGAUGUGUUUCCUGUUUCUGUAGGUUGUGUAUUAAACGAGGAUAAUUUCUCAAUGAAAUGCAGAAAGCACAAGAACAAGUCCAUUAAAGCAUCAUCAAAUCGUCAAAUCAGCAGGUGACAGGAGAAAGAGGACGCUAUGCGAGAGUGCGGCUGAUCUCUAACUCCAGUGUUUCUGUGCACGCCGACCACAGGACCUUCAGACAACACCCAAACACCUUAAUAAUUGUGCUGCUGCACUGCUCAUAACAUCGUCACUAUCACACAAAUGGCACUUUGUUUGACUCACACUAAAGACAGUCAUUUUGCGAGGUUGAAUGUGGGGAACGUCAGGGAAUUGUGCAUUGAAGGGGCUCAAAGCAGAAGACUAAUCCUCACAGCGUCUUAUUUACCAAUAUGAUUUUACUAAGUAUGUGUCAUAUUUAUAUGUUGGUGCAAACUUAUCUUUUGUUUUUUGUAAGCAAAGGCUUAUCUCCAAAAUCAAUUAUUUUGUUCAUUUUGUCUUAAUUUAUGAAGAAAAUUAAUUUUAUCAUCUGAAUUUUAAAUAUACUGCUUGUCAGAAUGUAAACGCGUGUUUAUAAUCAUCUCUUAAUAUAUUCAGUUGGCAUCUAGUCAUGAAAAAAUGUUUAGUUGAAGUGAAGGAAAACAUGAGAUGAAGCAUCUAGCAAGCAUUUAUGACGGGAACGUGUGAUGAUUUCUUUUUGUCGGAGAUUAGUCUGUUGGCUUCAGAGUUCAUGUGCGUUUCUUCACGCUGAGGACGUGUGCCCACAUUGUGAACGUGAAGUAUUUAAUGUUCGUUUUCAAUUACAUUAAUUGUACAAUUCCCAGAAUGCAUACGUUUAUUGUAAUUAAAUGCUGAAUAUUAGUGUUGCAGCUCAUCAGAUAUCUUCAUUUGAACCACAGCCAGUGGAUUUUCUUAUAGUUCUAUGCACUUACAUGCUCUGCGUAAUCUAUAUCUAGUGUAAACGAUAAGCCUGCAUUAGUGAGGACAUAUCAUCAGAAAUGACCUGUAACGUACUCAUGCCAUGGCAUCUUUUGGGUUUGUAACUUCAGGGGCCCUUGAAGGAUUUCCUUUCAACAGUUGUGAACUGUUUUGAUGCAAUUUGUUAACACGUAAUUCUUUUCUAAAAGUGGUUUUAUUCGUUUGUUGCUGCCUCGCUGAGACAAAUCACUAUCUGUUUAUUCAUGACUUUUACCCAGGAUGCACUUGUUUUAUGUGUGAUGAAAGAGAUCAGGAUUUUGAGACUCGUUCGGUAGAUGUGCAGCACGUUAUGUGUCAAUAUUUUUGUCCAAAGUUCAAGAUGAAUCUGUGCCAAAUGCAGCCUGAUGUAGUUUGGCAGCUUGUGUUGAGAGGUUGGUUCAUGAGAUGUUGCUCGUGUCUGUGUUAAUGUACUGCUGUUGUGUGCCAUACUUUUGUUCAGGACUGAAUCCUGAAUGAAUACAUUCGAUUUUUUAUUUAUUUUGGCUAACUUGAAUGAAUUGUCACGUUUUAGCAUCAUACCAAAUUCCAUUUUUGAUUGAAUUGUUUUUUCCCAAAUGUUCCAUCUUUUCCGAUCUUAAUCUCAGGGUUGAGCAGGGUUCUAUUGCGUUGUUGGUUGACAUUCUUACCCAAAAUGUAUUUAUCCUGAACUGACUUAACCCAGUUGGUCAGCGUAAUAAACUGGCUUCUUUUA